CCUACGGGUGGCAGCAGUGGGGAAUAUUGGGCAAUGGGCGCAAGCCUGACCCAGCAACGCCGCGUGAAGGAAGAAGGCUUUCGGGUUGUAAACUUCUUUUGUCAGGGACGAAGCAAGUGACGGUACCUGACGAAUAAGCCACGGCUAACUACGUGCCAGCAGCCGCGGUAAUACGUAGGUGGGAAGCGUUAUCCGGAUUUACUGGGCGUAAAGGGCGGGUAGGCGGGACUGCAAGUCAGAUGUGAAACCCACGGGCUCAACCUGUGGCCUGCAUUUGACACUGUAGUUCUUGAGUACUGGAGAGGCAGACGGAAUUCCUAGUGUAGCGGUGAAAUGCGUAGAUAUUAGGAGGAACACCAGUGGCGAAGGCGGUCUGCUGGACAGCAACUGACGCUGAGGCGCGAAAGCGUGGGGAGCAAACAGGAUUAGAUACCCCAGUAGGC
rnacentral:rRNA from 1 species